rnacentral:rRNA from 1 species
CCUACGGGUGGCAGCAGUGAGGAAUAUUGGUCAAUGGUCGGGAGACUGAACCAGCCAAGCCGCGUGAGGGAUGAAGGUACAGAGUAUCGUAAACCUCUUUUGUCAGGGAACAAAGGCGGGGCCGCGUCCCCGGAUGAGUGUACCUGAAGAAAAAGCAUCGGCUAACUCCGUGCCAGCCGCCGCGGUAAUACGGAGGAUGCGAGCGUUAACCGGAUUUAGUGGGUUUAAAGGGUGAGCAGGCGGUCUGUUAAGUCAGCGGUAAAAGCCCGGGGCGCAACCCCGGCCCGCCGUUGAAACUGGCGGUCUUGAGUUGGAGAGAAGUAUGCGGAAUGCGCGGUGUAGCGGUGAAAUGCAUAGAUAUCGCGCAGAACUCCGAUUGCGAAGGCAGCAUGCCGGCGCCACACUGACGCUGAGGCACGAAAGCGUGGGUAUCGAACAGGAUUAGAUACCCGUGUAGUC